GAGGGACUGUUAAGUCUUUUUGUAAUUUUGUUAAUUUAUUACCAUUUUAAAUUAGGUGUUCUUUUUUAAGUUGUUUCCUUAUGUGAUUGCUCUACACAUCCGUUUAUGUCUCCCGUUUCUCUCCUCUCUGCGAAUCCCAAUCGUCUCCGGCUUUAUUUCUCCUUGCGAAACCAUACGCCUUCAGUCUGUGCAUGCCAACAAGCUCCAUGGUUGGUUCUUCUUCCAGGCGAUCCAAGCGACAUAAGGAGGAGUUCGUUGGUGGUGGUCCAGGGAACAAUGUUGAAGUUAAUCAAAAUGCGAUGGUAGAUAGUCCGUCUUCUGAUGAUUUUGCAUCUCCUCCGGUUGUCUUGCCUCCUCGUGUCCGUAUGUGUGAAAUGGCUCCUAAUUUCUUUACUCGUUUUCGUGUUCAAAAUAACACACACAUCUACCACUGAUGUCGCACACGUGUUGUAAUUACACCGUUUCUUUAGUUGAAUGCACUCACCAUCUACCUUUUACGCACACACUUACAUGUUAGUAACAAAAACCAAUGACUUCUUAAUACAGGGUUACUCAUUUAUUAAAUUCGGUAAAAUUUUUAUCUCCA